GUGUCAGCCGCCGCGGUAAGACGGAGGAGGCUAGCGUUGUUCGGAAUUACUGGGCGUAAAGCGCGCGCAGGCGGUCUUGCAAGUCAGGGGUGAAAGCCCGGGGCUCAACCUCGGAACUGCCUUUGAGACUGUGAGACUCGAGACCGAGAGAGGAGAGUGGAAUUCCCAGUGUAGAGGUGAAAUUCGUAGAUAUUGGGAAGAACACCGGUGGCGAAGGCGGCUCUCUGGCUCGGUACUGACGCUCAUGCGCGAAAGCGUGGGGAGCAAACAGGAUUAGAAACCCGCGUAGUCC
rnacentral:rRNA from 1 species